UGUUAUGUGGCUUAGUUAGUUGAAGCGACGAAGUAGCGACACGGAAUCGUGGGUUCGCAUCCCACCAAAACAA
rfam:Aedes albopictus isolate Foshan contig133584, whole genome shotgun sequence.